UGGGGAAUAUUGCGCAAUGGGGGAAACCCUGACGCAGCAACGCCGCGUGAAGGAUGAAGGCCUUCGGGUUGUAAACUUCUUUGAUUGGGGACGAAAAAUGACUGUACCCAAGGAACAAGCCACGGCUAACUACGUGCCAGCAGCCGCGGUAAUACGUAGGUGGCAAGCGUUGUCCGGAAUUACUGGGUGUAAAGGGCGUGUAGGCGGGGAUUUAAGUCAGAUGUGAAAUUCCGGAGCUCAACUCCGGCGCUGCAUCUGAAACUGAAUUUCUUGAGUGCUGGAGAGGAAAGCGGAAUUCCUAGUGUAGCGGUGAAAUGCGUAGAGAUUAGGAGGAACACCAGUGGCGAAGGCGGCUUUCUGGACAGUAACUGACGCUGAGGCGCGAAAGCGUGGGGAGCAAACAGG
rnacentral:rRNA from 2 species